GAGGCUGCAGUGCAGUUUGCGCGUACCAACCGCAACAGUGCCGCCCUCUGACCAGCUUAGAGAAUGCAGAGUCAAAGUGUAUCGUUCAGCAAAUCAGCUUCCAGAAACUAUCUGGAUUUACAGCUCAUCCACUAUGGAAAAGUUGUUAAUCUUGCAGAUGCAGUCCUCAGUUUCCUUAAAAGCAGGCUCCUAGAAUGAGAACAGAAUUCAAUGUGGAAUGAAAGUGAACAAGUCAUAAAUAGUGCUCAAGAAGAAAAUGUUUAUUAACAAAUUUCCAGUGACACAAAUGAGGUUUUAAAGAAAGAGUGACAUUUAUUUUGGUCUGUUAAUGUGGUUUUCCUGUACUCUGUCAUCUCACUUUGCUGUGAAAAGUAAAACCACUGUUUUGAACUAUA